GCUGCUGCUGCUGCUGCUGCUGCUGCUGCUGCUGCUGCUGCAGCUGCAGCUGCUGCUGGAGGAGGGAAGACAGCUGUUGAGUUGCUGCAGAGAGACGCUCUCUCAGACGAGUGCUCGCUGCAGCAACCUUCCGCAGCCACA
rnacentral:snoRNA from 1 species